rnacentral:rRNA from 1 species
AUGAACGCUAGCGACAGGCUUAACACAUGCAAGUCGAGGGGUAACAGGGUAGCAAUACCGCUGACGACCGGCGCACGGGUGAGUAACGCGUAUGCAACCUGCCUAUAACUGGGGAAUAGCUCCCUGAAAGGGGGAAUUAACACCGCAUAACACUAUUGAUUCGCAUGGAUUAGUAGUUAAAUGUAGCGAUACAGGUUAUAGAUGGGCAUGCGUGACAUUAGCUAGUUGGUGAGGUAACGGCUCACCAAGGCUACGAUGUCUAGGGGUUCUGAGAGGAAGGUCCCCCACACUGGUACUGAGACACGGACCAGACUCCUACGGGAGGCAGCAGUGAGGAAUAUUGGUCAAUGGGCGCAAGCCUGAACCAGCCAUGUCGCGUGCAGGAAGACUGCCCUAUGGGUUGUAAACUGCUUUUAUAGUAGAAGAAACACAUCUACGUGUAGAUGUCUGCCAGUAUACUAUGAAUAAGCAUCGGCUAACUCCGUGCCAGCCGCUGC